rnacentral:rRNA from 1 species
GUGUCAGCCGCCGCGGUAAUACAGAGGUCACAAGCGUUAUCCGGAUUUAUUGGGCGUAAAGCGUUUCGUAGGUGGGUUUAUAAGUUAUUUUUCAAAUCCCAAGGCUCAACCUUGGAAAGGGAGAUAAUACUGUAAGUCUUGAUUUUUGGUGGGGUAUCUGGAACUGAUAGUGUAGUAGUGAAAUACGUUGAUAUUAUCAGGAACUCCAAGGGCGAAGGCAGGAUACUAACCAAUUAAUGACACUGAGGAACGACAGCUAGGGGAGCGAAAGGGAUUAGAAACCCUUGUAGUCC